UACGUAGGGUGCGAGCGUUGCCCCGGAUUUAUUGGGCGUAAAGGGCGCGUAGGCGGUGAGAUGCGUCCGUUGUGAAAUCGCCCGGCUCAACUGGGCGGGGUCAGCGGAUACGGUCUCACUUGAGCAAGCUAGGGGGCAAUGGAAUUCCCGGUGUAGUGGUGGAAUGCGUAGAUAUCGGGGAGGAACACCUGUGGUGUAGACAGCUUACUGGACCACUUCUGACGCUGAGACACGAAAGCGUGGGUAGCAAACAGG
rnacentral:rRNA from 1 species